AAUUUGAUAAUUAUUAAAUAUUAUUUAUUUUUUUAGAUAUUUUUAUAUUAAAUAAGUAGAUUUUCGUUUUAUUAUUCAUUAGAAUUAAUUUUGAGAGUGAUAGUUUAUUAGUAUUGUAAGAGAAUUAUUGUUAAAUUUUAUAAGAAUAAUUUAUUUUUAGUACCUUGUGUGUCAGGGUUUAUUGAAUAAUAAAAUAGUUUUAUUUUUUCUCGAAUUAAUGAGAGCUAAUAUUAUGUUUAUUUUAUCGUUGUAUGGAUAUUUUAUAUGUAAUUUUAGUAGCGAAACGUUAUUCGUUCUUUAUAUAUCUAGUUAUUAAAGAAACUUUUUUAAUAAGAUCUGUUAGUUAUCAAAAUUUUUAUUUUUAAAUACUUUGAUUUAACGGUUUUGUAAUUAUUGGGAUAAGCUAAUAAUUAAAUUUUUAUAGAUUAUUGAUUAAUUUAAAUUAAUAGGAUUAGUAAUUUCCAUUUUAUUGUUUAUAAUAAUUAAUUUAUUGAAUUAAUAAUUUUUUUUUUCUUAGUAUGUUUAUUUAAUUAUUCUUAGGGAUUUUUAAUGUGAAUUAAUUGUGAUAUAAUUAGUAAUUUUAUAUUUAUGGUAUUGUUAAAUUUUUAGUUUGUUAAAAGGAACUCGGCAAGUAUUGUUUCUGCCUGUUUAUUAAAAACAUGUCUUUUUGAUUAUAAUUUAAAGUCGGGCCUGCCCAAUGAUUUUUGAAUGGCCGCGGUAUUUUGACCGUGCAAAGGUAGCAUAAUCAUUAGUUUUUUAAUUAAGAACUGGAAUGAAUGGUUUGACAAGAAAUUUUCUGUCUCUUAUCAUUAUAAUGAAUUUUAUUUUUGAGUUAAAAAGCUUAAAUUUUUUUAAAAGACGAGAAGACCCUAUAGAGUUUUACACGUAGUUAAUAGUUAGUAUUUAUAGUGGUUUUUGACAUGUGUUUUGUUGGGGUGACAGAAAAAUAUGUUAAACUUUUUUUUUAUUGUAAUAAUAAUAUUUAAGUAUUUGAUCCUUGAUUUAAGAUUAUAAGAUUAAAUUACCUUAGGGAUAACAGCGUAAUUUAUUUAGAGAGUUCAAAUCGAAAAAUAAGUUUGCGACCUCGAUGUUGGAUUAAAAUUUACUUGAUGUGUAGAAGCAUCGGUGUUAGGUCUGUUCGACCUUUGAAAUUUUACAUGAUCUGAGUUUAAACCGGCGUGAGCCAGGUUGGCUUCUAUCUUUAAAUUAUAUAAAUAAUUUAGUACGAAAGGACCAGUUAUUUAGUAAAUUACUUUUUCUUGGUUAUUGUUA
rnacentral:rRNA from 1 species